rnacentral:rRNA from 1 species
AUUGAACGCUGGCGGCAGGCCUAAUACAUGCAAGUAGGACGCAGUUGCGAACGGGUGAGUAACGCGUCGGUAACUGCCUAUUAGAGGGGGAUAACUCUUGGAAACGAUAGCUAAUACCGCAUACUAGUAUAUGGACCUGCGUUGUAUUAGCUAGUAGGUAGGGUAAUGGCCUACCUAGGCGACGAUAAAUAGCCGACCUGAGAGGGGGAUCGGCCACACUGGGACUGAGACACGGCCCAGACUCCGACGGGAGGCAGCAGUAGGGAAUCUUCGGCAAUGGGGGGAAGCCUGACCGAGCAACGCCGCGUGAGUGAAGAAGGUUUUCGGAUCGUAAAGCUCUGUUGUUAGGGAAGCGGUACUUAAACAGAAAGGGACGGCUAACUACGUGCCAGCAGCCGCGGUAAUAC